AGAAAACAAAAAGGGAAAUUUACAAUUUAAUCGAUAAGUUUUAACACUUAUUAUUAUUUAGUUCUUGUAUUUUGAAAGUUGAACAUAUAAACCCCUACUGAUGCUUCCGUUAAAAUUGAUGGUUCCUUUGUCAAACUAUUUGAGCGUUAGUUCCAUUGGUCUAAGGAGAGAGAACCUUUAAAUCACUAAACUACCCCUUCCCUCUCCCUGUUGUUUCUCUCUUCCUCUCAUCUUACUGUUUCCCCGAAGCCUCUACCAUUUUUAUUCUUCAUUCUGGAUUAAAACAUGGCCAUAUGAAGUUGCUAAGGGAGGAUCAGGUUCUUGUAGAAG
rnacentral:misc_RNA from 1 species